rnacentral:tRNA from 1 species
GUCCCCUUCGUCUAGAGGCCGGUGACACCGCCCUUUCACGGCGGUAACAGGGGUUCGAAUCCCCAAACUAGGGACGCCA